GAUGUUGCGUGGGGAAGAUCCAGUUACUUUGAUGUGGUAAAGAUCAGACAUAUUGUCUCAACAUUU
rnacentral:tRNA from 1 species